rnacentral:rRNA from 1 species
GACGAACGCUGGCGGCGUGCUUAACACAUGCAAGUCGAGCGGUAAGGCCCUUUCGGGGGUACGACGAGCGGCGAACGGGUGAGUAACACGUGGGUGACCUGCCCUCAGCUCUGGGAUAAGCCUGGGAAACCGGGUCUAAUACCGGAUAUGACUCCAUGACGCAUGUUGUGGGGUGGAAAGCCUUGUGCGGCUGAGGAUGGGCCCGCGGCCUAUCAGCUUGUUGGUGGGGUGAUGGCCUACCAAGGCGACGACGGGUAGCCGGCCUGAGAGGGUGGU